rnacentral:rRNA from 1 species
CAGCAGCCGCGGGAAUACGAAGGGUGCAAGCGUUACUCGGAAUUACUGGGCGUAAAGCGUGUGUAGGUGGUUGUUUAAGUCUGUCGUGUAAGCCCUGGGCUCAACCUGGGAAUUGCGAUGGAUACUGGGCGACUAGAGUGCGGUAGAGGAUAGUGGAAUUUCCGGUGUAGCAGUGAAAUGCGUAGAGAUCGGAAGGAACAUCUGUGGCGAAGGCGACUAUCUGGGCCAACACUGACACUGAGACACGAAAGCGUGGGGAGCAAACAGGAUUAGAUACCCGCGUAGUCCCUGUCUCUUAUCC